rnacentral:lncRNA from 1 species
AUGAUGUUGAGUUGUGAAUGUUGCACCGACGGUGAGGUUCCAUCAGGAUAAAGCUGAAAGAGACCAGCUGUUUGAUUCGCAGCAGAACUCGCCAUCGGAAAAGGUGUUAUAUAUGAUGAACUUGAUAUCUGCCCAGGUGGUGGAUAAGCCUGUUGCAAGCCCAACGACCGUAAAUAAAAUUAUCUCACAUACAGAAGAAAGAAAUUUAGAAUCAUAUCUCGUAAAGUUGAAUGCUACCUGACCGGCAUUCAGCCGCUUGUUAUCCCAAUCUUGAACGGGAUCUUCAGAUGCUAAUCGUUUCGUUCCCAACGCUUUAGGAUAAAUGGAUAAAUAUGAUAAGUGGUAAAUGAUAUACUCUAGAAACAAGUUUCAUUGGUCAAGCUAAAUGCCUAAUCAUAUCUAUGGUAGUUGUACCAACAGCUAAUCCGUAAAUAACCAACACAUAAGCAUUAGAGUUGACAAUUUCGACACAUCUACUAAUGAAUCGAGUUGAGCCGAUUCGAGUAGUGUAUUAUCUCAAAUGGGUCAAAUGAAUUACAAAAAAAUGUUAAAAAGGGAACUGUUCAAAUCGGUGAUUUACAUAUAGUUGUGUAAAUCAUUUUAUCACAAGAUUCAGAUUAUUAUUGUAAUAAUACUGCUUAUGUAUUCACAAAAUACAUAUUAUAAUUAUAAACUUCUCAUAUAUAAAUUAAACAAUAACACAUUUGAUCAUUUCUAUUGGAUAUUUGGAUUAUACUUUGACCUUGUAAGAUUUUAGAAACAAACAGCAUCACUGAAAUAAACAUACAGUUAAGUCUAGGUACAUUGGUUUGCCCUCCCUAGUGGAGACGCAGGCUCGAUUCUCGCUUGUGCCAUUUUCAAGGGACAUCUGGGUGAAGGGACGAAUCGGGGCUUUAAUCCCGGGUUCGAACCUGACAGGGGGGCGAGGGUUUACGGAUUCCAUCCGGUUCCCGCGCAUCGGGGGGGCACGGUCUCAUGGCGGUCGAGGAGUCGACCUUGGACAUAGCCCCGAGCAGGGUGGGUUUACACGUGAGAUUCUUUGCCGUUC